AUUCAUUUAUGGUUCAUAAGCAUGAUUGAGUAUGCACACUAUUGCGUGAGAUCUCCCUACCUCAAACCUUGUUAUUAUAUCAGCAAAUUACCCACCUGAGG